rnacentral:rRNA from 1 species
UACAGAGGGGGCAAGCGUUGUUCGGAAUUACUGGGCGUAAAGGGCGCGUAGGCGGCCAUCUAAGUCAGGCGUGAAAUCCCCCGGCUUAACCUGGGAACUGCGUCUGAUACUGGACGGCUUGAGUAUGGGAGAGGGAUGUAGAAUUCCAGGUGUAGCGGUGAAAUGCGUAGAUAUCUGGAGGAAUACCGGUGGCGAAGGCGGCAUCCUGGACCAUUACUGACGCUGAGGCGCGAAAGCUAGGGGAGCAAACGGG